rnacentral:lncRNA from 1 species
CCAAACCGGCUAAACCGCCCCGAUCAUGCCCAUUUUUCGGCGUUCAAACCGCCGCACGGCUACCCCCCCCAUCCCGAUGCCCCCGGACCCUUGGUCCCGUGGGACCUGACGGAAACGGAAUCGGAUGCUCGGAUCAUGAGAUACGCCUAAAACCGUCUAAACCUACUGAGCGCACCCCGAACAUGCCCAUUUUUCGGCGUCCAAACCGCCGCGCGGCUACCCCCCCAUCCCGAUGCCCCCGGAACCCUGGUCCCGCGUGACCCGACGGAAACGGAAUCGGAGGCCCGGAUCAUGAGUUACGGCCCCUUCUUUGCGGCCCCCGAGGACGUGCGCUAUAGCCCCCCGGGCCACCCCCCAUCCGGCCGCACCCGCCCGAACCCCACCGAAUGCGUCCGCCGCCUCCCGAUCCCGCCCCGCGGUCCCCCCCGGGGCAUGAACCGCCCGCCGGCGGGCCGAAACCGGCCAAACCGGCAAAACCGCCCCGAUCAUGCCCAUUUUUCGGCGAUCAAACCGCCGCACGGCUACCCCCCCAUCCCGAUGCCCCCGGACCCCUGGUCCCGUGGGACCUGACGGAAACGGAAUCAGAUGCUCGGAUCAUGAGAUACCCCCAAAACCGUCUAAACCUACUGAGCGCACCCCGAACAUGCCCAUUUUUCGGCGUUCAAACCGCCGCGCGGCUACCCCCCCAUCCCGAUGCCCCCGGAACCCUGGUCCCGCGGGACCCGACGGAAACGGAAUCGGAGGCCCGGAUCAUGAGUUACGGCCCCUUCUUUGCGGCCCCCGAGGACGUGCGCUAUAGCCCCCCGGGCCACCCCCCAUCCGGCCGCACCCGCCCGAACCCCACCGAACGCGUCCGCCGCCUCCCGAUCCCGCCCCGCGGUCCCCCCCGGGGCAUGAACCGCCCCCCGGCAGGCCGAAACCGGCCAAACCGGCUAAACCGCCCCGAUCAUGCCCAUUUUUCGGCGUUCAAACCGCCGCACGGCUACCCCCCCAUCCUGAUGCUCCCGGACCCCUGGUCCCGUGGGACCUGACGGAAACGGAAUCGGAUGCUCGGAUCAUGAGAUACGCCCAAAACCGUCUAAACCUACUGAGCGCACCCCGAACAUGCCCAUUUUUCGGCGUUCAAACCGCCGCGCGGCUACCCCCCCAUCCCGAUGCCCCCGGAACCCUGGUCCCGCGGGACCCGACGGAAACGGAAUCGGAGGCCCGGAUCAUGAGUUACGGCCCCUUCUUUGCGGCCCCUGAGGACGUGCGCUAUAGCCCCCCGGGCCACCCCCCAUCCGGCCGCACCCGCCCGAACCCCACCGAACGCGUCCGCCGCCUCCCGAUCCCGCCCCGCGGUCCCCCCCGGGGCAUGAACCGGCCCCCGGCGGGCCGAAACCGGCCAAACCGGCUAAACCGCCCCGAUCAUGCCCAUUUUUCGGCGUUCAAACCGCCGCACGGCUACCCCCCCAUCCCGAUGCCCCCGGACCCCUGGUCCCGUGGGACCUGACGGAAACGGAAUCGGAUGCUCGGAUCAUGAGAUACGCCCAAAACCGUCUAAACCUACUGAGCGCACCCCGAACAUGCCCAUUUUUCGGCGUUCAAACCGCCGCGCGGCUACCCCCCCAUCCCGAUGCCCCCGGAACCCUGGUCCCGCGGGACCCGACGGAAACGGAAUCGGAGGCCCGGAUCAUGAGUUACGGCCCCUUCUUUGCGGCCGCCGAGGACGUGCGCUAUAGCCCCCCGGGCCACCCCCCAUCCGGCCGCACCCGCCCGAACCCCACCGAACGCGUCCGUCGCCUCCCGAUCCCGCCCCGCGGUCCCCCCCGGGGCAUGAACCGGCCCCCGGCGGGCCGAAAUCGGCCAAACCGGCUAAACCGCCCCGAUCAUGCCCAUUUUUCGGCGUUCAAACCGCCGCACGGCUACCCCCCCAUCCCGAUGACCCCGGACCCCUGGUCCCGUGGGACCUGACGGAAAUGGAAUCGGAUGCUCGGAUCAUGACAUACGCCCAAAACCGUCUAAACCUACUGAGCGCACCCCGAACAUGCCCAUUUUUCGGCGUUCAAACCGCCGCGCGGCUACCCCCCCAUCCCGAUGCCCCCGGAACCCUGGUCCCGCGGGACCCGACGGAAACGGAAUCGGAGGCCCGGAUCAUGAGUUACGGCCCCUUCUUUGCGGCCCCCGAGGACGUGCGCUAUAGCCCCCCGGGCCACCCCCCAUCCGGCCGCACCCGCCCGAACCCCACCGAACGCGUCCGCCGCCUCCCGAUCCCGCCCCGCGGUCCCCCCCGGGGCAUGAACCGCCCCCCGGCGGGCCGAAACCGGCCAAACCGGCUAAACCGCCCCGAUCAUGCCCAUUUUUCGGCGUUCAAACCGCCGCACGGGUACCCCCCCAUCCCGAUGCCCCCGGACCCCUGGUCCCGUGGGACCUGACGGAAACGGAAUCGGAUGCUCGGAUCAUGAGAUACGCCCAAAACCGUCUAAACCUACUGAGCGCACCCCGAACAUGCCCAUUGUUCGGCGUUCAAACCGCCGCGCGGCUACUCCCCCAUCCCGAUGCCCCCGGAACCCUGGUCCCGCGGGACCCGACGGAAACGGAAUCGGAGGCCCGGAUCAUGAGUUACGGCCCCUUCUUUGCGGCCCCCGAGGACGUGCGCUAUAGCCCCCCGGGCCACCCCCCAUCCGGCCGCACCCGCCCGAACCCCACCGAACGCGUCCGCCGCCUCCCGAUCCCGCCCCGCGGUCCCCCCCGGGGCAUGAACCGCCCCCCGGCGGGCCGAAACCGGCCAAACCGGCAAAACCGCCCCGAUCAUGCCCGUUUUUCGGCGUUCAAACCGCCGCGCGGCUACCCCCCCAUCCCGAUGCCCCCGGACCCCUGGUCCCGUGGGACCUGACGGAAACGGAAUCGGAUGCUCGGAUCAUGAGAUACUCCCAAAACCGUCUAAACCUACUGAGCGCACCCCGAACAUGCCCAUUUUUCGGCGUUCAAACCGCCGCGCGGCUACCCCCCCAUCCCGAUGCCCCCGGAACCCUGGUCCCGCGGGACCCGACGGAAACGGAAUCGGAGGCCCGGAUCAUGAGUUACGGCCCCUUCUUUGCGGCCCCCGAGGACGUGCGCUAUAGCCCCCCGGGCCACCCCCCAUCCGGCCGCACCCGCCCGAACCCCACCGAACGCGUCCGCCGCCUCCCGAUCCCGCCCCGCGGUCCCCCCCGGGGCAUGAACCGCCCCCCGGCGGGCCGAAACCGGCCAAACCGGCCAAACCGCCCCGAUCAUGCCCGUUUUUCGGCGUUCAAACCGCCGCGCGGCUACCCCCCCAUCCCGAUGCCCCCGGACCCCUGGUCCCGUGGGACCUGACGGAAACGGAAUCGGAUGCCCGGAUCAUGAGAUACGCCCAAAACCGUCUAAACCUACUGAGCGCACCCCGAACAUGUCCAUUUUUCGGCGUUCAAACCGCCGCGCGGCUACCGCCCCAUCCCGAUGCCCCCGGAACCCUGGUCCCGCGGGACCCGACGGAAACGGAAUCGGAGGCCCGGAUCAUGAGUUACGGCCCCUUCUUUGCGGCCCCCGAGGACGUGCGCUAUAGCCCCCCGGGCCACCCCCCAUCCGGCCGCACCCGCCCGAACCCCACCGAACGCGUCCGCCGCCUCCCGAUCCCGCCCCGCGGUCCCCCCCGGGGCAUGAACCGCCCCCCGACGGGCCGAAACCGGCCAAACCGGGUAAACCGCCCCGAUCAUGCCCAUUUUUCGGCGUUCAAACCGCCGCACGGCUACCCCCCCAUCCCGAUGCCCCCGGACCCCUGGUCCCGUGGGACCUGACGGAAACGGAAUCGGAUGCUCGGAUCAUGAGAUACGCCCAAAACAGUCUAAACCUACUGAGCGCACCCCGAACAUGCCCAUUUUUCGGCGUUCACACCGCCGCGCGGCUACCAAAGCAUCCCGAUGCCCCCGGAACCCUGGUCCCGCGGGACCUUACGGAAACGGAAUCGGAGGCCCGGAUCAUGAGUUACGGCCCCUUCUUUGCGGCCCCCNNNNNNNNNNNNNNNNNNNNNNNNNNNNNNNNNNNNNNNNNNNNNNNNNNNNNNNNNNNNNNNNNNNNNNNNNNNNNNNNNNNNNNNNNNNNNNNNNNNNAGCCCCCCGGGCCACCCCCCAUCCGGCCGCACCCGCCCGAACCCCACCGAACGCGUCCGCCGCCUCCCGAUCCCGCCCCGCGGUCCCCCCCGGGGCAUGAACCGGCCCCCGGCGGGGCCGAAACCGGCCAAAUCCGGCUAAACCGCCCCGGAAUCAUGCCCAUUUUUCGGCGUUUCAAACCGCCGCACGGCUACCCCCCCAUCCCGAUGCCCCCGGACCCCUGGUCCCGUGGGACCUGACGGAAACGGAAUCGGAUGCUCGGAUCAUGAGAUACGCCCAAAACCAUCUAAACCUACUGAGCGCACCCCGAACAUGCCCAUUUUUCGGCGUUCAAUCCGCCGCGCGGAUCCCCCCCCAUCCCGAUGCCACGGGAACCCUGGUCCCGCGGGACCGGACGGAAACGGAAUCGGAGGCCCGGAUCAUGAGUUGCGGCCCCUUCUUUGCGGCCCCCGAGGACGUGCGCUAUAGCCCCCCGGGCCACCCCCCAUCCGGCCGCACCCGCCCGAACCCCGCCAAACGCGUCCGCCGCCUCCCGAUCCCGCCCCGCGGUCCCCCCCGGGGCGAUGAACCGGCCCCCGGCGGGCCGAAACCGGCCAAACCGGCUAAACCGCCCCGAUCAUGCCCAUUUUUCGGCGUUCAAACCGCCGCACGGCUACCCCCCCAUCCCGAUGCCCCCGGACCCCUGGUCCCGUGGGACCUGACGGAAACGGAAUCGGAUGCUCGGAUCAUGAGAUACGCCCAAAACCGUCUAAACCUACUGAGACGCNNNNNNNNNNNNNNNNNNNNNNNNNNNNNNNNNNNNNNNNNNNNNNNNNNNNNNNNNNNNNNNNNNNNNNNNNNNNNNNNNNNNNNNNNNNNNNNNNNNNNNNNNNNNNNNNNNNNNNNNNNNNNNNNNNNNNNNNNNNNNNNNNNNNNNNNNNNNNNNNNNNNNNNNNNNNNNNNNNNNNNNNNNNNNNNNNNNNNNNNNNNNNNNNNNNNNNNNNNNNNNNCGCCUCCCGAUCCCGCCCCGCGGUCCCCCCCGGGGCAUGAACCGGCCCCCGGCGGGCCGAAACCGGCCAAACCGGCUAAACCGCCCCGAUCAUGCCCAUUUUUCGGCGUUCAAACCGCCGCACGGCUACCCCCCCAUCCCGAUGCCCCCGGACCCCUGGUCCCGUGGGACCUGACGGAAACGGAAUCGGAUGCUCGGAUCAUGAGAUACGCCCAAAACCGUCUAAACCUACUGAGCGCACCCCGAACAUGCCCAUUUUUCGGCGUUCAAACCGCCGCGCGGCUACCCCCCCCCCCCAUCCCGAUGCCCCCGGAACCCUGGUCCGGCGGGACCCGACGGAAACGGAAUCGGAGGCCCGGAUCAUGAGUUACGGCCCCUUCUUUGCGGCCCCCGAGGACGUGCGCUCCCCCAUCCGGCCGCACCCGCCCGAACCCCACCGAACGCGUCCGCCGCCUCCCGAUCCUGCCCCGCGGUCCCCCCCGGGGCAUGAACCGGCCCCCGGCGGGCCGAAACCGGCCAAACCGGCUAAACCGCCCCGAUCAUGCCCAUUUUUCGGCGUUCAAACCGCCGCACGGCUACCCCCCCAUCCCGAUGCCCCCGGACCCCUGGUCCCGUGGGACCUGACGGAAACGGAAUCGGAUGCUCGGAUCAUGAGAUACGCCCAAAACCGUCUAAACCUACUGAGCGCACCCCGAACAUGCCCAUUUUUCGGCGUUCAAACCGCCGCGCGGCUACCCCACCAUCCCGAUGCCCCCGGAACCCUGGUCCCGCGGGACCCGACGGAAACGGAAUCGGAGGCCCGGAUCAUGAGUUACGGCCCCUUCUUUGUGGCCCCCGAGGACGUGCGCUAUAGCCCCCCGGGCCACCCCCCAUCCGGCCGCACCCGCCCGAACCCCACCGAACGCGUCCGCCGCCUCCCGAUCCCGCCCCGCGGUCCCCCCCGGGGCAUGAACCGCCCCCCGGCGGGCCGAAACCGGCCAAACCGGCAAAACCGCCCCGAUCAUGCCCGUUUUUCGGCGUUCAAACCGCCGCGCGGCUACCCCCCCAUCCCGAUGCCCCCGGACCCCUGGUCCCGUGGGACCUGACGGAAACGGAAUCGGAUGCCCGGAUCAUGAGAUACGCCCAAAACCGUCUAAACCUACUGAGCGCACCCCGAACAUGCCCAUUUUUCGGCGUUCAAACCGCCGCGCGGCUACCCCCCCAUCCCGAUGCCCCCGGAACCCUGGUCCCGCGGGACCCGACGGAAACGGAAUCGGAGGCCCGGAUCAUGAGUUACGGCCCCUUCUUUGCGGCCCCCGAGGACGUGCGCUAUAGCCCCCCGGGCCACCCCCCAUCCGGCCGCACCCGCCCGAACCCCACCGAACGCGUCCGCCGCCUCCCGAUCCCGCCCCGCGGUCCCCCCCGGGGCAUGAACCGCCCCCCGGCGGGCCGAAACCGGCCAAACCGGCAAAACCGCCCCGAUCAUGCCCGUUUUUCGGCGUUCAAACCGCCGCGCGGCUACCCCCCCAUACCGAUGCCCCCGGACCCCUGGUCCCGUGGGACCUGACGGAAACGGAAUCGGAUGCCCGGAUCAUGAGAUACGCCCAAAACCGUCAAAACCUACUGAGCGCACCCCGAACAUGCCCAUUUUUCGGCGUUCAAACCGCCGCGCGGCUACCCCCCCAUCCCGAUGCCCCCGGAACCCUGGUCCCGCGGGACCCGACGGAACCGGAAUCGGAGGCCCGGAUCAUGAGUUACGGCCCCUUCUUUACGGCCCCCGAGGACGUGCGCUAUAGCCCCCCGGGCCACCCCCCAUCCGGCCGCACCCGCCCGAACCCCACCGAACGCGUCCGCCGCGUCCCGAUCCCGCCCCGCGGUCCCCCCCGGGGCAUGAACCGCCCCCCGGCGGGCCGAAACCGGCCAAACCGGCAAAACCGCCCCGAUCAUGCCCGUUUUUCGGCGUUCAAACCGCCGCGCGGCUACCCCCCCAUCCCGAUGCCCCCGGACCCCUGGUCCCGUGGGACCUGACGGAAACGGAAUCGGAUGCCCGGAUCAUGAGAUACGCCCAAAACCGUCUAAACCUACUGAGCGCACCCCGAACAUGCCCAUUUUUCGGCGUUCAAACCGCCGCGCGGCUACCCCCCCAUCCCGAUGCCCCCGGAACCCUGGUCCCGCGGGACCCGACGGAAACGGAAUCGGAGGCCCGGAUCAUGAGUUACGGCCCCUUCUUUGCGGCCCCCGAGGACGUGCGCUAUAGCCCCCCGGGCCACCCCCCAUCCGGCCGCACCCGCCCGAACCCCACCGAACGCGUCCGCCGCCUCCCGAUCCCGCCCCGCGGUCCCCCCCGGGGCAUGAACCGCCCCCCGGCGGGCCGAAACCGGCCAAACCGGCAAAACCGCCCCGAUCAUGCCCGUUUUUCGGCGUUCAAACCGCCGCGCGGCUAGCCCCCCAUCCCGAUGCCCCCGGACCCCUGGUCCCGUGGGACCUGACGGAAACGGAAUCGGAUGCCCGGAUCAUGAGAUACGCCCAAAACCGUCUAAACCUACUGAGCGCACCCCGAACAUGCCCAUUUUUCGGCGUUCAAACCGCCGCGCGGCUACCCCCCCAUCCCGAUGCCCCCGGAACCCUGGUCCCGCGGGACCCGACGGAAACGGAAUCGGAGGCCCGGAUCAUGAGUUACGGCCCCUUCUUUGCGGCCCCCGAGGACGUGCGCUAUAGCCCCCCGGGCCACCCCCCAUCCGGCCGCACCCGCCCGAACCCCACCGAACGCGUCCGCCGCCUCCCGAUCCCGCCCCGCGGUCCCCCCCGGGGCAUGAACCGCCCCCCGGCGGGCCGAAACCGGCCAAACCGGCAAAACCGCCCCGAUCAUGCCCGUUUUUUCGGCGUUUCAAAACCGCCCGCGCGGCUACCCCCCCAUCCCGAUGCCCCCCGGACCCCCUGGGUCCCGGUGUGACCUGACGGAAAACGGAAUCGGAUGCCCGGAUCAUGAGAUACGCCCAAAACCGUCUAAACCUACUGAGCGCACCCCGAACAUGCCCAUUUUUCGGCGUUCAAACCGCCGCGCGGCUACCCCCCCAUCCCGAUGCCCCCGGAACCCUGGUCCCGCGGGACCCGACGGAAACGGAAUCGGAGGCCCGGAUCAUGAGUUACGGCCCCUUCUUUGCGGCCCCCGAGGACGUGCGCUAUAGCCCCCCGGGCCACCCCCCAUCCGGCCGCACCCGCCCGAACCCCACCGAACGCGUCCGCCGCCUCCCGAUCCCGCCCCGCGGUCCCCCCCGGGGCAUGAACCGCCCCCCGGCGGGCCGAAACCGGCCAAACCGGCAAAACCGCCCCGAUCAUGCCCGUUUUUCGGCGUUCAAACCGCCGCGCGGCUACCCCCCCAUCCCGAUGCCCCCGGACCCCUGGUCCCGUGGGACCUGACGGAAACGGAAUCGGAUGCCCGGAUCAUGAGAUACGCCCAAAACCGUCUAAACCUACUGAGCGCACCCCGAACAUGCCCAUUUUUCGGCGUUCAAACCGCCGCGCGGCUACCCCCCCAUCCCGAUGCCCCCGGAACCCUGGUCCCGCGGGACCCGACGGAAACGGAAUCGGAGGCCCGGAUCAUGAGUUACGGCCCCUUCUUUGCGGCCCCCGAGGACGUGCGCUAUAGCCCCCCGGGCCACCCCCCAUCCGGCCGCACCCGCCCGAACCCCACCGAACGCGUCCGCCGCCUCCCGAUCCCGCCCCGCGGUCCCCCCCGGGGCAUGAACCGCCCCCCGGCGGGCCGAAACCGGCCAAACCGGCAAAACCGCCCCGAUCAUGCCCGUUUUUCGGCGUUCAAACCGCCGCGCGGCUACCCCCCCAUCCCGAUGCCCCCGGACCCCUGGUCCCGUGGGACCUGACGGAAACGGAAUCGGAUGCCCGGAUCAUGAGAUACGCCCAAAACCGUCUAAACCUACUGAGCGCACCCCGAACAUGCCCAUUUUUCGGCGUUCAAACCGCCGCGCGGCUACCCCCCCAUCCCGAUGCCCCCGGAACCCUGGUCCCGCGGGACCCGACGGAAACGGAAUCGGAGGCCCGGAUCAUGAGUUACGGCCCCUUCUUUGCGGCCCCCGAGGACGUGCGCUAUAGCCCCCCGGGCCACCCCCCAUCCGGCCGCACCCGCCCGAACCCCACCGAACGCGUCCGCCGCCUCCCGAUCCCGCCCCGCGGUCCCCCCCGGGGCAUGAACCGCCCCCCGGCGGGCCGAAACCGGCCAAACCGGCAAAACCGCCCCGAUCAUGCCCGUUUUUCGGCGUUCAAACCGCCGCGCGGCUACCCCCCAAUCCCGAUGCCCCCGGACCCCUGGUCCCGUGGGACCUGACGGAAACGGAAUCGGAUGCCCGGAUCAUGAGAUACGCCCAAAACCGUCUAAACCUACUGAGCGCACCCCGAACAUGCCCAUUUUUCGGCGUUCAAACCGCCGCGCGGCUACCCACCCAUCCCGAUGCCCCCGGAACCCUGGUCCCGCGGGACCCGACGGAAACGGAAUCGGAGGCUCGGAUCAUGAGUUACGGCCCCUUCUUUGCGGCCCCCGAGGACGUGCGCUAAAGCCCCCCGGGCCACCCCC